UCUUAUGGAUGAGCAAAGAAAGUGGUUUCUUGAGAUGGCACCUACUCCUGCUGAAGAUGCUGUGAA
rnacentral:pre_miRNA from 3 species